CACGUAGGCGGCUUUCUAAGUCGGGGGUGAAACCCUGGAGCUCAACUCCAGAACUGCCUUCGAUACUGGAAAGCUCGAGUCCGGGAGAGGUGAGUGGAACUGCGAGUGUAGAGGUGAAAUUCGUAGAUAUUCGCAAGAACACCAGUGGCGAAGGCGGCUCACUGGCCCGGUACUGACGCUGAGGUGCGAAAGCGUGGGGAGCAAACA
rnacentral:rRNA from 1 species